rnacentral:rRNA from 1 species
CUGGUCUUGACAUCCACGGAAGUUUUCAGAGAUGAGAAUGUGCCUUCGGGAACCGUGAACAGGUGCUGCAUGGCUGUCGUCAGCUCGUGUUGUGAAAUGUUGGGUUAAGUCCCGCAACGAGCGCAACCCUUAUCCUUUGUUGCCAGCGGUCCGGCCGGGAACUCAAAGGAGACUGCCAGUGAUAAACUGGAGGAAGGUGGGGAUGACGUCAAGUCAUCAUGGCCCUUACGACCAGGGCUACACACGUGCUACAAUGGCGCAUACAAAGAGAAGCGACCUCGCGAGAGCAAGCGGACCUCAUAAAGUGCGUCGUAGUCCGGAUUGGAGUCUGCAACUCGACUCCAUGAAGUCGGAAUCGCUAGUAAUG